rnacentral:tRNA from 1 species
GGGGCAGUAGCUCAGUUGAUAGAGCGCAUCGUUCGCAACGAUGAGGUCGCCGGUUUGAUCCCGGUCUGCUCCACCA